rnacentral:rRNA from 1 species
UACGUAGGGUGCAAGCGUUGUCCGGAAUUAUUGGGCGUAAAGAGCUCGUAGGCGGUUCGUCGCGUCGGCUGUGAAAACCCGGAGCUCAACUCCGGGCCUGCAGUCGAUACGGGCGGACUUGAGUGUUGCAGGGGAGACUGGAAUUCCAGGUGUAGCGGUGAAAUGCGUAGAUAUCUGGAGGAACACCGGUGGCGAAGGCGGCAUCCUGGACCGGUAUUGACGCUGAGGCGCGAAAGCCAGGGGAGCAAACGGG